UAGGGGAGGGGUCAUCAAAGUUUUGAGACGAGUCAGACAACUUAAUUCCGUUUAUUUCAUUUCUAUCGAGACGCUAUUCGAGGAUGGUCACGUUAGUCGUUGCGGGGUACUUUCUUUCCUGAUUUUGUUCUUCAUAAAAAAGGUUGGUGGAGAUUUUUCUCAACGUGCAGUGCCAAGUGAACAAGAUGCCUGUGAUGUAUAAUUUUUGUGAGAUGAAAGAGUAAGAGUGAAGAAAACAGGAAAUCUGAAAUUGAUUCCUUAGUCAGUCUGGUGUAAGAGCUGAAAAUGGUGUUGAUGUCUGGUGUGCAAUGGUGUGGCAGUCAUUUUCUGAUAAGAGAGAUGUGCUGAAAUGGAUCUUCAGUAGACUUGCAGUUCAACAUCAGACUUCAAUUUACCAUGGUGUCCAUGCAGAGUUGGGCUGUUGUGCUAAAUAGUUGGUGUUGCCUGGCAUUUUGUUGGUGUGUUCUCUUGCUACCUGUACCCAUGUUGAGGUUUGAUGUAUACUCUGCUUCUAAAUGAGACAACUUGUGAAAAGAGUCAGCUUGUGAAGAGAUGAAAAAAAUUCUUAUCAAGGUUUCUUGUUCAGUUUGAGCUGUUAAUGGUGUUGUCUGGUGUGCAGUGGUUUUGCAGUAAUUCAGUUGAGAUGCCCUGAGAUGGAUGAUGAACUGCUGAGACUUCUCUCACAUCAUCUUUUUCUAUGGAGACGCUGUUCGAGAAGGCCAUUGCAGGCAACUUUCUGACAUUGUGUCUUAUAAAUGAUCUUGGUGACGACGUGAUCAUCAAUCUUCUACAUGCAGUUUUUGUUAUCAACAAUUGGAGAAGUUUCGACGGAAAUGUGUAGCAGUUUUGCAGUCCUACUCCUGUUCAAGCUGUUGCUUUCCUGAAUUUUGCUGGAGUCUUUGAAGUAGCUGAACCUGAAGUUAUGAUGCUGGUGUUAUCCUGAAAUAGCUGAUGUUGGUGUUAUCAAGUUACUGCGGCAGUGCAAUUCGUGUUUAUAUAAUUAUUAUAUCCAUAUAGUAUGUGAUUGCAGUAACCUCAAGCUAUUUCGUUAUCCAUUGUGGCAUGUUGCAAUCUGAUGUAUGUAUAAACAGCAGUGUUUCCUGAUAUCAUCCUCACCCAAAUAUAUC
rnacentral:lncRNA from 1 species